UACAGAGGGUGCGAGCGUUAAUCGGAAUUACUGGGCGUAAAGCGCACGUAGGCGGCUUUGCAAGUCGGGUGUGAAAUCCCCGGGCUCAACCUGGGAGCUGCAUCCGAGACUGCUUUGCUCGAGUAUGGGAGAGGGAAGUGGAAUUUCCGGUGUAGCGGUGAAAUGCGUAGAUAUCGGAAGGAACAUCAGUGGCGAAGGCGGCCACCUGGACGGUCACUGACGCUGAGACGCGAAAGCGUGGGUAGCAAACAGG
rnacentral:rRNA from 1 species